GGAGUUAUGCCUGAAAUAAAGGGCCACUUUGAUAAGGUGGAUAAUGGGGGUUAAAGUCCCCCUAACUCCU
rnacentral:tRNA from 5 species